GGUAUUCGCGCACCUUCCAGGAUCGACAACUCUGUUUGACUACGUGCAGCGUGACUGCGUACCAGAUGAGCUGGGAGGCACUGCUGGACCUGCUGACAACUUCGCCUACAAAGUUAGGGAGAUGGUCAACAGUGAGUGGCUGCAGGAGAAAGACAAGCAUGUGUCAGACGAGAGCAAACGCCCCGCCGAUAACCACUAUGGCGACAUCUACGGCAUCGCAGGCUCAUUUAAGAAAUUGUCCGUGGACUGACACACAACCCUGUUUUGUAAGACAGGGAGACGACUUUAUAAAACACAUGUACAUAUUGUACAGGCUUAUGUGUAACCAAAAACUUAAAUAAACUGCUCUCUACUAAAUCUUUUAAUUCUA